rnacentral:rRNA from 1 species
CGCGUAGGCGGCCUGUUAAGUCAGAUGUGAAAGCCCUGGGCUCAACCUGGGAACGGCAUUUGAUACUGGUGGGCUGGAGUCUGGUAGAGGGGGUGGAAUUCCAGGUGUAGCGGUGAAAUGCGUAGAGAUCUGGAGGAACAUCCGUGGCGAAGGCGGCCCCCUGGACCGAGACUGACGCUGAGGUGCGAAAGCGUGGGGAGCAAACA